CCUACGGGAGGCAGCAGUGGGGAAUUUUGGACAAUGGGCGAAAGCCUGAUCCAGCAAUGCCGCGUGCAGGAAGAAGGCCUUCGGGUUGUAAACUGCUUUUGUACGGAACGAAACGGUCUGCUUUAAUACAGUGGGCUAAUGACGGUACCGUAAGAAUAAGCACCGGCUAACUACGUGCCAGCAGCCGCGGUAAUACGUAGGGUGCGAGCGUUAAUCGGAAUUACUGGGCGUAAAGCGUGCGCAGGCGGUUAUAUAAGACAGUUGUGAAAUCCCCGGGCUCAACCUGGGAAUUGCAUCUGUGACUGUAUAGCUAGAGUACGGUAGAGGGGGAUGGAAUUCCGCGUGUAGCAGUGAAAUGCGUAGAUAUGCGGAGGAACACCGAUGGCGAAGGCAAUCCCCUGGACCUGUACUGACGCUCAUGCACGAAAGCGUGGGGAGCAAACAGGAUUAGAUACCCUGGUAGUCCACGCCCUAAACGAUGUCAACUGGUUGUUGGGUGCAUUAGUACUCAGUAACGAAGCUAACGCGUGAAGUUGACCGCCUGGGGAGUACGGCGCGAGUAGAACGUAAGUAAGUAGUAGACGNGAGAGNGCGACGACGACGACGACGGAGGAGGAGG
rnacentral:rRNA from 1 species